AUUGAACGCUGGCGGCAUGCCUAACACAUGCAAGUCGAACGGCAGCACGGGAGCUUGCUCCUGGUGGCGAGUGGCGGACGGGUGAGUAAUGCAUAGGAAUCUGCCCAGUAGCGGGGGACAACUUGGGGAAACUCAAGCUAAUACCGCAUGCGCCCUACGGGGGAAAGCGGGGGACCUUCGGGCCUCGCACUAUUGGAUGAGCCUAUGUCAGAUUAGCUUGUUGGUGGGGUAACGGCCUACCAAGGCGACGAUCUGUAGCUGGUCUGAGAGGACGAUCAGCCACACUGGGACUGAGACACGGCCCAGACUCCUACGGGAGGCAGCAGUGGGGAAUAUUGCACAAUGGGCGAAAGCCUGAUGCAGCAAUGCCGCGUGUGUGAAGAAGGCCUGCGGGUUGUAAAGCACUUUCAGUAGGGAGGAAACAGUAGCCGGUUAAUAUACCGGUUGCCUUGACGUUACCUAC
rnacentral:rRNA from 1 species